AUUUACCUCACUGACUGGAAGGAAACCCUUCCAGUCGGCGAGCAUGUACCCCUUGCCGGCUGGAAGGGUUUCCUUCCAGUCGGCAAGGUACAU
rnacentral:miRNA from 1 species